UUGAGUCCCUGGCAAAUCUGAACUGAUUUCGACCAAAAAACACAGUUAUUGUGGGAGUUGGAAAGGGAAGUGGCGCUGUGCGCUUGCAAAGACUCUUUUAGAGAAAACCGGGCUAUAUAUACAUAUGGGAGUUAUAUCUUAAUCUGAACUGAUUUUUAUCAAACUUACCAGUCUUGUUGAAAGUCAUAAGAGAAUGAAUUAACAAUUGACGAAGCUUCAUCUGUAGGCCAAAAAAGAUGCCUGGUCCAAAUUUUAAGACUAUCGAAUGAAAAUUGCAACCUGUACUUUGUUCACAAAUUAACGUGGGCAGACAGACAGAAGGACUCGGCUCAAUCGAAUCGUAUAUUAAACUUAAAUGAAAUCUUAAAGGCGUUCGGAAGAUAGUUUUUUGAAUCUUGGCAAAAUGAGUUUUUUUCCUCUGCUAGAUCUGACGAACUGCACACGAUUAUAGAGAUACAAAGGUUCAUUUGUGUAUAUUAUAUUAUGUAUCCGAAUUAAACAUCAGAUCUUCAGACAUAGCGUGCGAUGGCGUUAAAUGCAACAUAUUUCUUGAUUAUUCUUAAAGACAAGUGUCGUAUGCACCAUUCCUCAAAAUUUCAAGUGGAUACAAUUGUAAAUAACGGAAGUUACGUUUUUUCCUUCUGCUGUAAAGUAACAUAAACGAGUCAGGCUCAUUUUAUAUUAAGUCAUCGAUGUACUCUAUAUACCCAUUG